rnacentral:rRNA from 1 species
GCAAGUCGAACGGUAGAGGGGGCAACCCCUUGAGAGUGGCGAACGGGUGAGUAAUAUAUCGGAACGUGCCCAGUCGUGGGGGAUAACGUAGUGAAAAUUACGCUAAUACCGCAUACGAUCUAAGGAUGAAAGCGGGGGAUCGCAAGACCUCGCGCGAUUGGAGCGGCCGAUAUCAGAUUAGGUAGUUGGUGAGGUAAAGGCUCACCAAGCCAACGAUCUGUAGCUGGUCUGAGAGGACGACCAGCCACACUGGAACUGAGACACGGUCCAGACUCCUACGGGAGGCAGCAGUGGGGAAUUUUGGACAAUGGACGCAAGUCUGAUCCAGCCAUUCCGCGUGCAGGACGAAGGCCUUCGGGUUGUAAACUGCUUUUGUACAGAACGAAAAGGUCUCUAUUAAUACUAGGGGCUCAUGACGGUACUGUAAGAAUAAGCACCGGCUAACUACGUGCCAGCAGCCGCGGUAAUACGUAGGGUGCAAGCGUUAAUCGGAAUUACUGGGCGUAAAGCGUGCGCAGGCGGUUAUAUAAGACAGAUGUGAAAUCCCCGGGCUCAACCUGGGAACUGCAUUUGUGACUGUAUAGCUGGAGUGCGGCAGAGGGGGAUGGAAUUCCGCGUGUAGCAGUGAAAUGCGUAGAUAUGCGGAGGAACACCGAUGGCGAAGGCAAUCCCCUGGGCCUGCACUGACGCUCAUGCACGAAAGCGUGGGGAGCAAACAGGAUUAGAUACCCUGGUAGUCCACGCCCUAAACGAUGUCAACUGGUUGUUGGGUCUUCACUGACUCAGUAACGAAGCUAACGCGUGAAGUGACCGCCUGGAA